AAUCAAAGACACACUUAGGUGGACCUGAAUGAUGAUCUCACAAAGAGGAGUGCAGUUUGGGGACACCUAGAUUCGAGCCCAGAGAUAUACUGCGGGAACUGCUGCAGGAGCCUGAGCACAACACAGACGGAUCUUCAGCAUGACGAAAACAACUAUGCUGAAGAACAUGAGCUUACAAUACCCUGAAUGAUGGUCUGCCU